ACCGCAUUUUACAAAACUCACGAUCCGUAGGUUAGAAAGGUUUUAAUUUGGAAUUGGUUUUAUAAAUGACCGUUGGAAUUGGGAAGCCAAAAGGUUUAGGUCGGUGUAUUGGCACAUAAAAUAUUACCUUCUCCACUCUUCCUUCUUCACUUCACUCAUCCCGCUUCAUUCUUCAAACACCGUCGGAGACGACUCGUCGCGACCUCUGUAAUUCAGCUCACCGGAGACACAAGCACCCCCACCCUUCGUAAGACACUCACAACCAUAUGUUGUAGUCUCCUCUGUAUGUAUGGAUACGAGAAAAAUCGAAGCAUACUCUAGUUUUCUAACUACACAAGUUGUAUUGCGACUUAAGAACAAAAGGAAACUACAUAGUUUUUCUGUAGUUUUGUUGGCUGUUUCAUAAAAGUUUUCUUCUCUAUCUUUUUAUUGAUUUUUUUUUCACUGUAAAAUCUGAUUUAGCGUGUCUGGUACGCUUGUUUCAGAAUUUGUUCUUAUGAAUAACCAAUUUUAUCAGCACACGAUGUUUUACUCAAAUCUCUUUUUGUGGAAGAUUUAAUCACAUAAUGAUUAUUUUGUUUCUUGUUUCUCUUCUGUUGAUUUGCACUUUAGUAAUAAAAUAACUCUGGUCAAACUCUUGCAUGGUUUGAGUGUAUUAGGUUUACCAUAUUAUAGUUUGUUGGUUUGUUUUAUGAGGUUAAAUCAUGUUUUGAUUGUUUAUUAACAUUUUUACUCGAUUCUAAUCUUAUUUUAAUAUUGCCCUAACAACAAAACAACAUUGCUGUCACUGGUUAUUAUUAGGGUCGCAUAAUCUGCCACAUUUAUCAAAGUAUAGUUGGAUUCCCCAUGUUACAUGACUUUUUGAAGAUUGUAAAGCUUCCAUACGUAUUUCAGUUACUAAUUUAUGGUUAUUUGAUAGGAUAACUGGAAAAGUCAAGGCUACAGAAGUUCAAAUUGCUAAUGUUGUAUGCAUUGGAUGUUGGACAACCAAAUGUUGAGGUAUAAAUAAAUGUAUAUGCUUACAUGUUCACAACAUUCAUCACAUGUUACUAUGCUUUCCUAUUAAGUAACUCGUUUACUAGCCAAUUUAUCCAUGUAGUGUUAGCGGUUUGAUUUAAAACCUUCUAGUAGUUUUUCUCAUUCAAGUAGCUGACAAAAGAGUAGUUAAAAAAGGUUAUUACUGAUGCAGGAAACAAUGAGGUUCUUUCUGAAAAAAAAACAAUUUUAUAUAUUAGCAUGUUGUUUUUCUUUCCUACCUUUUCUAUUUUAAUCCUAAGAGCAACUUAGGGCGUCUGUGGUUCAAGGGUUCCAUAGAAAUAUGAAGGAAUUGGAAUGGAAGAUUCCUUAAGUUACACACUUGGUUGACAAAAUGGAUCGAAUUGGAUUCCAUUAAACUCCCCCAAAAUCUUUAUUCAACAUAUUUAUCAUUCCUAGGGAAGAAUUGGAAUUCCUUUAUUUACUUCUUCAUUAAAAAAAUUAAAUUUGUCCUUACAACCAAAUGUUUUUUUUUUGAAUCUUACACCUUCUUCUCUUUAUUCUCACCCCUAUUUAUCCUAAUAUACAACUCUAUAAAUGCAGAUAUUUAUAAUCAAUUGUUAUAUUAUUAAUUAGUUACCUAUCUUCAUUUUUAAUGGCAUAUUCCUUUUCUUUUAAUGUUUAUGAAAUUAAAGUAUGUUUGAUGUUUAUAUAAUUAAUGUUUGCUAGCUGUCUUAUGAGUAAAUUCUUUUCCAGUAAAUAUCUAUUAUUUUAUAAAAAAAAUGUCACUAAAGGGUGUUUUGGUCAUUUAACAUAAUUUUCAUUUCAAUUCUUUUGAAUCAUUUUCAAACCAAACACAAAACAACACAUGAAAUGAAUCGAAAUCCUUUCCAUUUUCUUUCCAAUUUGUUUGACAAAUUCCAUUCAUUAUAAAAGUAUUUUGCGAAGCACAAGUUACCUUACAUUACUCUGAGAUUAAUUGCUAUUCUUAAUUCCAAUCCAUUUGAGAAAUUCCAUUCAUUACUCUGCAACAAGAAAAGGCUUUAGAAACCAAUUACAAAACUUGGGGUUUAGAAAAGGAAAAGAAGAUGCCCCCGAGAAUCAAAGUGUUAACAUGUACACUUUUAGUUCCAUUGAAUCUCAAAUACCUUUGCUUUAUCAAAUUACUUCCUUCAAUCCAUUGAUUACAAGCUGACAAAGCAUGGAAACAACAUACAGGUGUACAGGAAAGGAUGUGCUUAUUUUCUUAAAAAGAUUAUGAAUAUUGCAUGGAAAAGUCCUUCAGCACUUAUUUAGUAUAUAUGCUUGACAUCAUGGAAGGGAAAUGCCACAUGGUGUGGUAUUUGGUGGGUUGAAAUGUUAGAAACAAGUGGUGAAUAUAAAGAGGGUGCUGGUGUUGUUUAAGGAACAUCUUUGUUCAGCUGUGAUGCUUGAACAAGGAUCUUAUUGCUGUUACCUUUUAGCCAAACUAAUUAUAUUAAGAAAGUAUGGAUUUCAUCUCAUUCUUUUUGAUGAUCUAUACAAGAAAUGCCAUCAGCUUUUCAUCAGAAAACAACAAUCAUUAACUUGAAGGGUAUUUCAAGAAAAACUUCAAUUUUUUGCAAAAACAUCAUAUACCAAGUGCAAUUGUGUUGGUCAAUGUUUUAUGUAUGGUCAGCAACCCCGGACCCAACACGUGUAUGAUGGUGUGAUACUUAAAUCGGUAAAAUGGUGGAUUUCACAUUCAGCCUAUUUAUUAAUAUUGUGUAGACUUUUCCAAGGUCCAAUGAUUUAUUCAACAUAACCGACUUCCUGAUGCUUUUUAAGAUUAUGCACAACAUCCAGCUGAAGAAGUUGAUGAAUAAAUACAUACACACACACACAAAACUCCAUUAUCACAUGGUUUUUGUGGGUUUUCAUUCGUGUAGGUCAACAACUUGAAAUUGUUGGAUGACAUGGCAGAACUGAGUUCAACCAACUGAGUUACAUGAUUAUAUAACAGAGCAUAUGAUGGGUGGGGUAUAAAUGAUAAAUUUAUGUAUUUUUUCAAUCAUUGAUGCUCAGUUACAUGUGUGUGUGUGGUUGGUUUUAAUUCUUUAAUCCUCUUGGUGUUCGACAAAGGUUAAGGUUGUGGAAUAUUGUUUCAUUUUUUUUAAAAAUAGAAUUGAGUUUUCAUUUUCAGUUUUCAAUAAAAAUUUUAGAAAACGCAUUUGGUUGAAACCGAUGGAGUUUUCAUCCUCCAUUUUAGAAAUUUAGAAAACUGUAAAGUUCACUUUUCUAAUUUACAUAUAUAAUUUGACAAACUAAAAGUUUUCACUUUUUUUUUUGAGAUCUUUUGAAAACUGGAUCAACCAAAGGUGUUUUCAAGAAAUUUCAUUUUCAUCUGAAUUUUCGACAACCAAACACACCUUAACCAUCUCUUUGUCAACACCAAAUUUCCCUCAGAAUUAACAAUUUCCUUUGAUUUCAAGUGGUCAUCAAACCUUCUUUCAGCGAAGCCUCCCUUCUAUUUGAAAUGUUUUGUUACCUGUUUUCCUGCAUUUUUGUCCACCACAUGUCCUCCCCCUCUUUUAUUUUGAAUUUUUUUAACUCAAUUUUAGAUUAUUUAGGGUUUCACUGUUUGGGUUGUAUUGAAUAUCAUGAAUCCUUGGAUUGCAUCAAGUUCCUGAUUACAUAUGGCCAUCUGGGAAAACCUAAUAGCAUCUCCAAAAUGAUAUUUGUUAUACUUUCCUUGAUAAUUAUCUUUCUGUUACAUAAACCUAAUUUCAUUCCUUGUUAUAUAUAGUAGCAGUUGACAAAUUAGUCGCUUAUGAUGCUUUAAUGCUUUUGUGCUUCACUGACUUACUAGAGGGUGGUGAUUGUUUAAUGGAAGACUUAUACGAAUGAAAAAUCUAUCUGCAUGUGGGAUCGUAACAUAGUCAACCCCAACAACAAGGCUGCUACUGCCUUAAGGUAUUUCAAGAAGAACAUUUUCGAAUGGGCACUGGGAGGUUACAUAGCCUUUGAUGAAUUUGAGAAAACGUCAUAUGCCAAGUGCAAUUAAGUUGGUCCACAACUUGAAAUUGUUGAAUGACAUGGCAGAACUGAGUUCAACCUACUGAGUUACACGAUUAUAUAAUAGAGCAUAUGAUGGGUGGGAGCAAUGAAAAUAUGGUUAGAAAAUCAUCAGAAGACACAAAUGUAUUUUCAAGAUCCUCUUCAAAAGAACUUUGUCUUCAUGGGAGCUUUCAAGAUCUCUCUCUUGCGAAUGGAACUGAGAAGAUACUUGAUACAGUUACUACUUUAGGUGUACAGGAAAGGAUGUGCUUAUUUUCUUAAAAAGAUUAUGAAUAUUGCAUGGAAAAGUCCUUCAGCACUUAUUUAGUAUGCUUGGAAGGGAAAUGCCACAUGGUGUGGUAUUUGGUGGGUUGAAAUGUUAGAAACAAGUGGUGAAUAUAAAGAGGGUGCUGGUGUUGUUUAAGGAACAUCUUUGUUCAACUGUGAUGCUUGAACAAGGAUCUUAUUGCUGUUACCUUUUAGCCAAACCAAUUAUAUUAAGAAAGAAAAGCUGGAGAAAAAGCUAAAUGACCAUAUACGGUGCCAAGGUAAAUAACCAAACCCUACGUUUGUAUGUUGUAGUUGAAUGUUAUUUAGAUGCUAAGCUAUAAAAUCUUAUAUUAAAAUAUUAUACUUUCAUAAUCUAACCUAUGAUAUGAAGACAUUGUAAUUUUAUUAUUUUUCCUAUUAGGUCACUGUACUUUGAAAAACUAAACAUGUUUGGUUUUGGAUACCAUUUAUAGCAUUAUAAAUUCAAAGUUUUUAUUGUGAAGAUAGUUUACUAUCAAAAUCUAACCAAUUGCCUGCAAAAUUAUACUCCAAAUCGUAAAAUUAUAGUUUCAAAAUCCACCCUUUUAAGACAAUGUAUUUUUAAUACAUUCUACUUUAGAAUCUAAACUUGUUUAACCAUGGUUACCAAUUAUAACAUUAUACUUUAUAUUUAUUUUAUUUUUCAUAUUAAGACACCAUAGCUAUUCAUUAACAAUCAAUUUUUUAGUUUUUAACAGGCUUGGAGUAAUUAUAGUUCUCGUGUGUUAGUGAGUAAUAAAUACACCGUCAAUUCAAAUUAUUCAUUUCUCUUAUUGGAAGUUGUAUCUUUCCACAGAAUUGAAUCUCACUCAAUAAAAUGUUUAAGUGAAUGAAACUUCAUUGAUUUAAAUUUAGUCAUGUAAUGUUUUCUGUGUUGAUAUUCAUAUUAAAAAUAUUAAUUCGUUUUGAAUAAUGGCAACAAGAGAGGCAGAGAUGAAUCAUCAGAUGAUGCAACAAGUUUCUUUGGAUAUCACCAAAUUGGUUAUGAUAACAACAAGCCUCAAAACAUAUGUUAAAUUUUGAAGGGAAAUUGUGGGAAAUAACAAAUAAGGGUGUUGUUAUCAUUGAAUCUCAAAUAAGGUUAAUUAUGCCUUCAUGUUAGGAAAUUACCAUCUUCUAUCCACUGAUUACUAGCUGACAAAGCAUGGAAGCGAUAUGCAGGUAGCUACGAGUCUAUGACCCUGUUUGUGUAUUUCCAGAAAUACCCCUCAUUUUCCUAAAACAUGUGCUUAUUUAUUACUUCGGGAAAUGGUGUGGUUUGUGGUGGGUUGAAAUGUUAAAAACAAGUGGGUGAUGUAAAGAGUGGACAACUAGGGUAUUUCGAGAAAAACUUCAAUUUUUUAGUUGAAGUUCUCUACUACUUUUGUCACUGUGAAAUCCAAUCAAUACCGAUGAAAUGCUUAAGAGCUUGGUCAGGCUGAGAUGAUUAUGUAUGAUAAAAGCAGGACUUUAACUUGUAACCAAAUGGAGUUCAAGAAAUGCUAAAGCAGCUAUUGCUAUCUCUGUAUCAGAAAUUACACAGAUGGAUUCGUUGAACUUACCUAAUUUUCCCUUAUACAUUUUCAUAUCUUUUUAUCAUUCUAAUGUUCUGAUUUGUUAAAUGUGCAGACACCUGAGAUUCUUCAUUUGUUAAAGCAGAUCAAGGAGAAGCUGAAAGAAGUUUGAUCAAAUGGUAAAUUCUUUUGGUAGCAAUAUUUAACAAUUUUAAACAGUACAAAAUGCAAUUUUAUAAUUUAAACUAAGACAAAUAUAUUACAUACUACCUCCGUUCCAAAUUAAUUUUCCACAUUUGACUUUUGAAGUCAUUAUUCUUCAACUUUGACCUCAAAUGAUAAUACUUGAUGCAAAAUAUAUGGAUGGAUUGUAUUUUAAAUUUCUUUUCAUUGUUAUAAGUUUUAUCAAGUAACACAAUUAAAAAUAUUUAAAGUCAAAGUUGAAGAAAAAAGACUUCAAAGUCAAAAGUGGACAAUUAAUUUGGGAGUAUAUUAAAAUGGAAAAAAUACCAUAGGAACGAAAUUCGUUUUAUUCCGUUUUUUUUAAAUUGCAAAGAAAAUAUGAAUUCUGUCGGAUUGAUUCAUUAGUUUUUAGUCCGCCUUUUUCCUCUAUGGAUUUCCAUCAAGGUUCUUGAAUCUUUACUUUUAAGUCCAACUGAAUUUUGGAAAAAAAAAGAAGCUUAUAUCAGAUUGUGUAUUGUUCCUGAUAUGAGGCACAUAACUUUUUUUUUCUCAAGAAGUGUUGCAGUGAUAAUGUGCUGCCUAGAUUAAAAUGUCUUAUAUUUUCUGGAUUUGUGUCUUAUCAUCUGGUAUGUUGUUGUUGGACUUUAGCAGCACCAAUAGAAACUUUACACCAAAAUAGAAACAGGGACAUGAAAGCAACUUUACAGGGGACAAAAGUUAGAAGGGCAAAACUGGAAAAAACUAUGCAGUUUUUGGUAACCUAAACAGGGACAGAGCAUACCAAAGCUUUUUGAGGCUUUUCUUAUUGAACUUCAUAACAGAGAAAAGUGACAUAUCAGUCACGUACAUAGCAGGUCUAUUUAAAACAAAAACUUACAUAAAAAUAGAGGACUUUCAAACACUAGUUUGAUUUAUUCCACAUUAAAAUAAAACACGUGAGCAGCAGCCUCUGAAUUAGCUCUCAAUAGUUGUUACAUUCUUUUGUGCUAUAAUUAGAUAUUGUUUAUUUGUUCUUAUAAUCUCUGAGGUUUUCAUGUUUUGCAUUUGUGUAUUCCACAAGGCAAAAUAUAUUUAUGAUUUUUUAAAAUGUGAUAUACUACUCUUUACUUCUAUAGUCAGGUUGCUGGUUUAGGUCCAAGAGCUAGGGAAUCUUUUUGCAAAUUUGGUCCUUAUUUCAUGGUUUCUCAAUCGCUUUUUGUACCUGGGUCAUCACCUAGAUGUUAAACAACAUGUCCUUAUCUUCGUCUCUUUCUUUUCCAUUUUCAAGGAGCAUGAUGAAAUUUCAACAAAAUUUCUCUCUUUCCGAAUAUGUUGAAGGAGCAUAGCUGAACACUAAAUCCUUAAAAAUAGUGUCUUUUUGAAAAUAUGGUACUCUCAUUUCAUUGUUUGAUAAUAUUAUGUUUGGUCUCUUGUUCUCAACUUUAGCAGUCCGUAUGUUAAAUUUAUGAUAAUGACCAUUUUGCCAAUGUUCAGGUAUCAUAACUUACCCCCAACAAAAUUCAUCACCUUUCUUAAAAAUUCUGUCAUACGUUUAAGGAGUAUAAUUAUAUCCUAAUAAUCCCAAAAAGAUUCUUUAAAAGAAGAACAUUUUUUGAAAUUUUGGUACUCAUUUCAUGGUUCCAUAACGUUUUCCUUAAUGAGGAUUCAGACUGGUUAUUGCUAAUGUUGUGAUGCAGGAAACAAUGAGGAUUCAGACUUGUACUUAGAGCCAUCCAUCACCAAUAUA